rnacentral:lncRNA from 1 species
GCCUCAGGAAGGAAGGGAAGGUAUUGCCGGGGACGCGUCACUGAGGCUCUGGGGGAAGGUCAUGAACAGGCAGAGUCCAGUCAACUCCCCUGGGGAUCAGAACUCUCAGGAGCAGGCCUCUCCACAGAGCGCUGGAAAAGAAGCCCUGAGGGGCUGGGGGUGGUCCUGGACCCUUCCCCCCAGAGAUCUGCUGGUCCAUGGUGACGAGGCUCCCCCACAGCACCAGGGAGCGGGCUGAGAGCCAGGAGCAGGAUGCGAUUCUGCCUGAGCUCAAGGCUGGGCCCUUUUCUCCACAUGGCUCUGCUUGAGUCUGAGUUUAGUUGGGAGGUAUCACCUCCAAGAAGUUUUCUCAGAGCAAAGAAAUCCAGGGGAAAUGAAGCACUGAUCUUGUGUUAAAGGCAAGCUGUACCGCAGGCCAGGCCCGUCCAGCGGUGCCUCUGUGACAGUCCAGCUAAUGGUGCUGAGAGCUGACACUCCCAGCGGGCGCUGUCUUCCGCUGACCCCAUCCGCGGGACCUCCCUUCCUCACUCUCGUCCUUAAAGACGCUAAUAGAUUUUCUAUAGCUGCAGGCAGAGCAAACCUCUGCUGGUCUGAACUAAUGUAGAAGAAUUAGAAAAGAUUUACUGGGAAUUCUCUAUUUCUUUUCUUUAUUUUCCCUUUCAGCACAAAAAAAAGAAAACAUAUGACCUAAAUCUGCCAGACCCCUUUGAAAAGGAGGAACCCCUGGGAAGGAACGCAUUAGCAAUCCGCACACCCUAUUUAAUUAUUUCAAAAAUGCCAAAAUUGUUAAAUAGCUAGAAAAAUACUUUGAAUAAGAAGUUGGUGAUUAUAGUUCCUACUGCAUUUACCCCCAAACACAUACAUUAGUUUCAUCACACAGGAAAAUACUUGCAGAUGUAAACAAUUACACAGGGCCCCAGAUCUCUCUUAGCUGAGGGGUUCCUGCAGAGAUGUACUUUUAAAUCACAAUUUGUAGCACCCCCAAAAGCAUCCUUUGGGAAUUGCAAGUGGUCCACAUUAGAGCUGCAGACCCACAGCAUCCUUCUGCUUUUGGGGACCAGGGCAAAGGA